GGAGGGAUCAUUAACAUCCAAAUCCAAAAAAGGAUGGAGGGUAACCUCUGUCCAACAUACACUUGUGAAUGUAAACAGUCCGUACAUUUUUUAACCAAACCCUUUAUUUUUAAUCCUAGACUAAUAGUUCCAUCAUUAGUUUGAGUGGAACUUUUCUGUUUGACCUGUAAUGGUUGAUCAGGAUAUUUAAACUUACACAACCGUUAGCAAUGGAUCACUCGGCUCUUGUAACGAUGACGAGCGCAGCGAACUGCGAUAAGUGAUGUGAAACGCAGACGUACACGAAUCAUCAAACCCUUGAACGCAUUCUGCGCCUGAGGGCAUUCCCUCAGGCAUAUCCGUUUUAGUGUCAGUUACAUACUCUCGUUUUCUUUUAAAAAGGGAAAGCGGACCUGGAUGUUUAGCAUAGACUUGAUUACAAACAUAUGCUUCAUCUUAAAUAAAAAAAAGGGGCCAACAAAUCUCAUAAUCGAGAGGUUGUUAUUGGCGCUUCGACUGAAUUAUACAAGAAAGCGCCUUUACAAUUACCUAAUCAUUAUGGUUGGCAAAUUCCUUUAACAGGGAAAAUCUCUUUAAAAUUUGACCUAAUUCGGGUAAGACUACCCGCUGAACUUAAGCAUAUCAAUAAGCGGAGGAAAAGAAACCAACUGGGAUUCCCGUAGUAAGGGCGACUGAAGUGGGAACAGCUCAAGCCUAAAUCUCAGGGUGAAUAACCCUGCGAAUUGUAGUUUUGUGAUCUAUAGUUAGGGAAGGUUUACAGGCUAAAGUCUUCUGGAACGGAGCGCCAUAGAGGGUUACAGCCCCGUGAGCUUGUGCCAACCUGCAAACUAUGGAAUCAAAGAGUCGGGUUGUUUGGGAGUACAGCCCUAAGUGGGAGGUAAAUUCCUUCUAAAGCUAAAUAUUGACAAGAGACCGAUAGCGAACAAGUACCGUGAGGGAAAGAUGCAAAGAACUUUGAAAAGAGAGUUAAAAGAACGUGAAAUUGUUAACGGGGAAGCAGUUAAAGGCGCCGGCAUGGUCUAGAUUCAGUCAUGUAGCGCAUCCGGACAGAGUUGGGGUAGUGGGGCCUAGUCUUCACAUCCCAGAGCUGCCUCGGGUGUUUUACGUGGUGCACUUCUAGGCAGAGCGACUAACGUGGUUUAGUGAGGGAGGAAAAGGCUGGUCGGGAGGUACCUGUCUGACUUCGGUCAGCUGGGAAUACCGGCUAGAGAUACUCUCUUGCUGAACGAGGGGCCCAAAGGGUCGAAGGUUGUGCAAUUUUGCGGGAGAGGCGUCUUCUAGUGCUCGAGGACGGGGGAGACAGUCUAACUGUGUCUCUUGAUCUGAGGGUAUUCGGAGGCGAUAUCACCUACAACCUAAAGACGUUGGUAAAGGCGACUUUAAUUGUCCCGUCUUGAAACACGGACCAAGGAGUGCAACAUGUAUGCAAGUCUAAGGGUGGAAAACCUGGAGGCGUAGUGAAAGCAAUAUAUGGGAAGCUGACUCUUAGGGGAAAGCGGCACCAUAGGCCGCUCCAAUUACUUGUAAUCGGAGUGAGUUGGAGCAUACCUGUUGCGACCCGAAAGAUAGCGAACUAUGCUUGCAUAGGGUGAAGCCAGAAGAAAUUCUGGUGGAGGCUCGUAGCGAUACUGACGUGCAAAUCGUUCGUCGAAUGUGAGUAUAGCGGCGAAAGACUAAUCGAGCUAUCUAGUAGCUGGUUUCCUU
rnacentral:misc_RNA from 1 species